rnacentral:rRNA from 1 species
CUUUCCCUCUGGCGGCAGGCCUAACACAUGCAAGUCGAACGGUAACAGGAAGAAGCUUGCUUCUUUGCUGACGAGUGGCGGACGGGUGAGUAAUGUCUGGGAAACUGCCUGAUGGAGGGGGAUAACUACUGGAAACGGUAGCUAAUACCGCAUAACGUCGCAAGACCAAAGAGGGGGACCUUCGGGCCUCUUGCCAUCGGAUGUGCCCAGAUGGGAUUAGCUAGUAGGUGGGGUAACGGCUCACCUAGGCGACGAUCCCUAGCUGGUCUGAGAGGAUGACCAGCCACACUGGAACUGAGACACGGUCCAGACUCCUACGGGAGGCAGCAGUGGGGAAUAUUGCACAAUGGGCGCAAGCCUGAUGCAGCCAUGCCGCGUGUAUGAAGAAGGCCUUCGGGUUGUAAAGUACUUUCAGCGGGGAGGAAGGGAGUAAAGUUAAUACCUUUGCUCAUUGACGUUACCCGCAGAAGAAGCACCGGCUAACUCCGUG